rnacentral:misc_RNA from 1 species
UCGAACCCUGCAAGGCAGAACGACCCGCGAACAUGUAAACACAACUUGGUGAUGGGGAGAUGGACCAUGGUCUUUAUCCUCAACACCGUAGGCGUCCAUGAGUGGUGCAUCUUUUUGGGGCACCAUGAUUGUGUCGCCUGACUAUAACAAACCCCGGCACGGAACGUGCCAAGGAAAACAAUAUAAUGAGAAGGACUCGUCCUGUACUGCCCCGUUUGCGGUGUGCAUGCAGGUCUUGGCCUCCUUAGAAUCACAAACGACUCUCGGCAACGGAUAUCUCGGCUCACGCAUCGAUGAAGAACGUAGCAAAAUGCGAUACUUGGUGUGAAUUGCAGAAUCCCGUGAACCAUCGAGUUUUUGAACGCAAGUUGCGCCCAAAGCCAUCCGGCCGAGGGCACGYCUGCCUGGGCGUCACGCAUCGCGUCGCUCCCCACCAUAUASUUUCCCUUUAGGUAUUCUAGGUGUUUGGGAGCGGAGAUUGGCCUCCCGUGCUUGUGGUGUGGUUGGCCUAAAUUGGAGUCCCCUUCAGUGGACACAUGGCUAGUGGUGGUUGAACAGACCCUCGUCUUGUGCUGUGUGUCGUAAGCUGGUAGGGAAGCCCUCAUCAUAGACCCCAUUGUAUCAUCRCAGGACGAUGCUUCGAC